rnacentral:tRNA from 1 species
GCGGCACCCAACGGCAGGCUGCUGUUUCGGACUUCUAAUCCGCAGGUCGUAGGUUCGAAUCCUACCGGGCGCG